rnacentral:rRNA from 1 species
UGCAAGUCGAACGAUGAACCACUUCGGUGGGGAUUAGUGGCGAACGGGUGAGUAACACGUGGGCAAUCUGCCCUGCACUCUGGGACAAGCCCUGGAAACGGGGUCUAAUACCGGAUACUGACCCUCGCAGGCAUCUGCGAGGUUCGAAAGCUCCGGCGGUGCAGGAUGAGCCCGCGGCCUAUCAGCUUGUUGGUGAGGUAAUGGCUCACCAAGGCGACGACGGGUAGCCGGCCUGAGAGGGCGACCGGCCACACUGGGACUGAGACACGGCCCAGACUCCUACGGGAGGCAGCAGUGGGGAAUAUUGCACAAUGGGCGAAAGCCUGAUGCAGCGACGCCGCGUGAGGGAUGACGGCCUUCGGGUUGUAAACCUCUUUCAGCAGGGAAGAAGCGAAAGUGACGGUACCUGCAGAAGAAGCGCCGGCUAACUACGUGCCAGCAG